rnacentral:rRNA from 1 species
UACGUAGGGGGCAAGCGUUAUCCGGAUUUACUGGGUGUAAAGGGAGCGUAGACGGCACUGCAAGUCUGGAGUGAAAGCCCGAGGCCCAACCACGGGACUGCUCUGGAAACUGCGGGGCUGGAGUGCAGGAGGGGUAAGCGGAAUUCCUAGUGUAGCGGUGAAAUGCAUAGAUAUCACGCAGAACUCCGAUUGCGAAGGCAGCGUACCGGCAUCCAACUGACGCUGAGGCACGAAAGCGUGGGGAUCAAACAGG